rnacentral:rRNA from 1 species
UACGGAGGGUGCAAGCAUUGAUCGGAAUUACUGGGCGUAAAGGGCACGUAGGCGGUUUGCACAGUCAGAUGUGAAAUUCCUGGGCUCAACCUGGGGGCUGCAUUUGAUACGUGUAGACUUGAGUGGGGAAGAGGGUCGUGGAAUUCCCAGUGUAGAGGUGAAAUUCGUAGAUAUUGGGAAGAACACCGGUGGCGAAGGCGGCGACCUGGUCCUUGACUGACGCUGAGGCGCGAAAGCGUGGGGAGCAAACAGG